rnacentral:rRNA from 1 species
GAACGGGUGAGUAACACGUGAGCAACCUGCCUUUCAGUGGGGGACAACAUUUGGAAACGAAUGCUAAUACCGCAUAAGACCACAGUGUCGCAUGGCACAGGGGUCAAAGGAUUUAUCCGCUGAAAGAUGGGCUCGCGUCCGAUUAGCUAGAUGGUGAGGUAACGGCCCACCAUGGCGACGAUCGGUAGCCGGACUGAGAGGUUGAACGGCCACAUUGGGACUGAGACACGGCCCAGACUCCUACGGGAGGCAGCAGUGGGGAAUAUUGCACAAUGGGGGAAACCCUGAUGCAGCGACGCCGCGUGGAGGAAGAAGGUCUUCGGAUUGUAAACUCCUGUCCCAGGGGACGAUAAUGACGGUACCCUGGGAGGAAGCACCGGCUAACUACGUGCCAGCAGCCGCGGUAAAACGUAGGGUGCAAGCGUUGUCCGGAAUUACUGGGUGUAAAGGGAGCGCAGGCGGAUUGGCAAGUUGGGAGUGAAAUCUAUGGGCUCAACCCAUAAAUUGCUUUCAAAACUGUCAGUCUUGAGUGGUGUAGAGGUAGGCGGAAUUCCCGGUGUAGCGGUGGAAUGCGUAGAUAUCGGGAGGAACACCAGUGGCGAAGGCGGCCUACUGGGCACUAACUGACGCUGAGGCUCGAAAGCAUGGGUAGCAAACAGGAUUAGAUACCCUGGUAGUCCAUGCCGUAAACGAUGAUUACUAGGUGU